GAGGGAGGGGUGUUUCAAAUGGAACUGUGGCUGCAGAGCCAGGCAGUGGCUGCAGGCUGAGCAAGGGAACUCAGAACCAAGUGCGGGUGGCCUGAGACAUUUGGUGCCUUGUCUUCCCAUGGGACCUGGGGAGCCACUGCCCACCAUCAAGGAAUUCAGUGACCUAAAGACAAUGGAACAGGGGACAGUUGCAUAUAUGCUUUUGAAAGCAGAGGUGAACUCAGAAAGAGAGUGUCCUAAGAGCUGGAUUUCAGAAAGCUCUUGAGACAGGGUCAAGAACCAAGGGCCCCGGGUGGAUUCCCAGCACUCAGGUUCCCACAGGCUCCAGCAAAGAGAACAAACAAAUCUUCAUGACAAGCAAGACACUGUGGCGGUUCUGGGCUGAUGGUUGUGAACCCCAACCCAGCCCGGGAGUAAAGGGGAUAGAGAGUGAUUCUGGGACAGCCUCUGACCUUAAAGAGCCCCCAAUGUCCACCUUUCACCUCCAAGUAGAAACGUCAGCCUUGAAGUACACAGCAGUGGAUAAAGACCGUCCCUGGCCAGGUAGAUGGACGGACAGCCUGCUCAGGAAGUUAGCUUCCACACUGCUUCCAGGCGGAGGUCUUCCCUACUCGUCGUGGAGAGCUGCAGAAUCACGAGUUCGUGAGUUUUUUCCAGCUCUGAUGUCAAGGGAAGGGGAAAGAGCAUUUCCAAUUGAAAGCAGUGAGAGUCCCAGAUGGAGUUCCACACCUUCUGUAAGUGAAAUCGCUGGGAUCCUGGCCAGAUGUCUCACACAGGAAGCUAUCCAUCCACAUCAAUUUAGCUACUGUUCACCCACAGAAGCUCCUGUGGUGGGUUCCUCCCCAGUGUGGGGAGGGUGGAGGAAGAGGAGGGAGACACAGAAGAAUCACCUAGAGAACUAA
ensembl:lncRNA